rnacentral:piRNA from 1 species
AAACAGCUUGAAAGUCCUGGGUC